AUCCUACGGGACGCAGCAGUGGGGGAUAUUGCACAAUGGGGGAAACCCUGAUGCAGCGACGCCGCGUGGGUGACGAAGUAUUUCGGUAUGUAAAGCCCUAUCAGCAGGGAAGAAGAUGACAGUACCUGACUAAGAAGCCCCGGCUAACUACGUGCCAGCAGCCGCGGUAAUACGUAGGGGGCAAGCGUUAUCCGGAAUUACUGGGUGUAAAGGGAGCGUAGACGGCAAUGCAAGUCCGGAGUGGAAUGCGGCAGCUCAACUGCCGAACUGCUCUGGAAACUGUAUGGCUUGAGUGCAGGAGGGGG
rnacentral:rRNA from 1 species